rnacentral:rRNA from 1 species
GCAAGUCGAGCGGUAACAGAAAGUAGCUUGCUACUUUGCUGACGAGCGGCGGACGGGUGAGUAAUGCCUGGGAAUAUGCCUUGAUGUGGGGGAUAACUAUUGGAAACGAUAGCUAAUACCGCAUAAUGCCUACGGGCCAAAGAGGGGGAUCUUCGGACCUCUCGCGUCAAGAUAUGCCUAGGUGGGAUUAGCUAGUUGGUGAGGUAAUGGCUCACCAAGGCGACGAUCCCUAGCUGUUCUGAGAGGAUGAUC